CUUUGUUGGUCCACAUGGUGAAGUUGGGCAAGAUUUUGGACCCAUGACUUUGCUUCAGACGUGUCAGCCUGUCCAAUGAAGGGUAUUGAUUCUGCUCACAAGACUUGUUGUGUGACAUCAGCAGUGCUCUCUGUUACCAUGCACUGCACUCUUCUGACGAGCUCCUGCAACAACACUGAAAUCCCUCUCUGGGGAGCUUGCUCACAUAUGUCACGUAGCACCCUGUCCUCUGGCACUGCCUCUAUUCAGUUAAGGACAUGCUUAAGAAAAGAUGCACGUUUCUGCCUUGGUGAAUUUAAUGGUGCUGAAGUCCAUCCCACUGCAGGACAGCAGAACCUGCCUUGCCCUUCAAAUGAACAGCCAAAUUCCCUCUUCCAUAAAAUAUAGGGCAAAGUCAUUAACUUCUGGAGUCAAUGACUGAAUGGGCCCUUGCUUCAGGGGGGUGAGGCUCACAAUGAGCUGGUGAACAAAGCUUUUCCAUUUAUGUGCUGAAGUCAAGGAACAGGGUAUUCAGCUGACCUAAUUAACUGUCCAAAUAGGGCAGACCAAGUAGAAAAUAAAGACCAUGGGUCAGAUUUGGA